UACAGAGGUGGCAAGCGUUGUUCGGAAUUACUGGGCGUAAAGGCGCGUAGGCGGCCUACUAAGUCAGACGUGAAAUCCCCCGGCUUAACCUGGGAACUGCGUCUGAUACUGGAUGGCUUGAAUCCGGGAGAGGGAUGCAGAAUUCCAGGUGUAGCGGUGAAAUGCGUAGAUAUCUGGAGGAAUACCGGUGGCGAAGGCGGCAUCCUGGACCGGCAUUGACGCUGAGGAGCGAAAGCUAGGGGAGCAAACGGG
rnacentral:rRNA from 1 species